CCUACGGGAGGCAGCAGUGAGGAAUAUUGGUCAAUGGGCUUACGCCUGAACCAGCCAAGUCGCGUGAGGGAAGACUGCCCUAUGGGUUGUAAACCUCUUUUGUCAGGGAGCAACGCCGGCUACGUGUAGCCGGACUGAGAGUACCUGAAGAAAAAGCAUCGGCUAACUCCGUGCCAGCAGCCGCGGUAAUACGGAGGAUGCGAGCGUUAUCCGGAUUGAUUGGGUUUAAAGGGUGCGUAGGCGGAAUGCCAAGUCAGCGGUAAAAUCGCGGGGCUCAACCUCGCUCCGCCGUUGAAACUGGCGUUCUUGAGUGGGCGAGAGGUAUGCGGAAUGCGUGGGGUAGCGGUGAAAUGCAUAGAUAUCACGCAGAACUCCGAUUGCGAAGGCAGCAUACCGGCGCCCAACUGACGCUGAAGCACGAAAGCGUGGGUAUCGAACAGGAUUAGAUACCCUUGUAGUC
rnacentral:rRNA from 1 species